rnacentral:rRNA from 1 species
UACGUAGGGAGCAAGCGUUACUCGGAUUAACUGGGCGUAAAGCGAGUGUAGGCGGUUUUGUCAGUCAGAGGUGAAAGCCCUUAGCUUAACUAAGGAAUUGCCUUUGAUACUGCAAAACUUGAGGACAGGAGAGGUAAGUGGAAUUCCAGGUGUAGCGGUGGAAUGCGUAGAUAUCUGGAGGAACACCAGAGGCGAAGGCGGCUUACUGGACUGAUCCUGACGCUGAGAUUCGAAAGCUAGGGGAGCAAACAGG